GUUGAACUUUGUUGAUGAACAACACUAAGCCACCAAUUAUUUGUUUUCAGUAUCACUCUUGUCUCUCUCUUAUACAUGGAUGCUCUUAUACUACUUUCACCCACAAUAUUGAAAAAACCCAUCAUUACACCCUCUAUAGUCACCUUGAUUCACAAAUAAUGAGGUGGUUCACUUUUGUGAUGAAAUAUAUGCUGAUUAGCAACUCAUAUCACUUCAUUAAUUAUCCUAUAAUGCUGCUGUUCCAGAUAUUUUUGCAAGUUCAAUGACAUUUGCUAAAUCAAACAGCAUACAAUUUCCUCUUCACCAACAAAUAGUCUCUAAGAUAAUCUUAGAUACACUGCUUUUUAAAAAUAACCAAAUCCUUAAAGCUCUAAAGCAGGUAAUAGAAAAGAAACACAUCACAUUAAAGAAAAUAAUAAAGCUGAGGUGAUAGUUUCUAUGGUACAGACAGUACACCUUGAAUUGACAAAGAACAAUUCACAGUUAUCUAUGUCUGGAAUAAUUAUCCUGAUCAAUGUUCAUGUGAAUGUUUUUGAAAUAUCCACUGCUACUUGCAGCCACUUCGAUCAUUGUAACUCCAUGAUGGAAGAAAAUAAUUGGUAAUAUACUUGUUGAUAGAUUUAUAUUGCAGAGGUACUCUUCAGAAAUGAUAACAGAAGUUAAUAUUAUUAUUUUACUGCUUUAAACUAGUUCAUAAAUUUUAAAUAAAUAAAAACAAUUCAG
rnacentral:lncRNA from 1 species